rnacentral:rRNA from 1 species
AGAGUUUGAUCCUGGCUCAGAUUGAACGCUGGCGGCAGGCCUAACACAUGCAAGUCGAGCGGUAGAGAGAAGCUUGCUUCUCUUGAGAGCGGCGGACGGGUGAGUAAUGCCUAGGAAUCUGCCUGGUAGUGGGGGAUAACGUUCGGAAACGGACGCUAAUACCGCAUACGUCCUACGGGAGAAAGCAGGGGACCUUCGGGCCUUGCGCUAUCAGAUGAGCCUAGGUCGGAUUAGCUAGUUGGUGGGGUAAUGGCUCACCAAGGCGACGAUCCGUAACUGGUCUGAGAGGAUGAUCAGUCACACUGGAACUGAGACACGGUCCAGACUCCUACGGGAGGCAGCAGUGGGGAAUAUUGGACAAUGGGCGAAAGCCUGAUCCAGCCAUGCCGCGUGUGUGAAGAAGGUCUUCGGAUUGUAAAGCACUUUAAGUUGGGAGGAAGGGCCGUUACCUAAUACGUGAUGGUUUUGACGUUACCGACAGAAUAAGCACCGGCUAACUCUGUGCCAGCAGCCGCGGUAAUACAGAGGGUGCAAGCGUUAAUCGGAAUUACUGGGCGUAAAGCGCGCGUAGGUGGUUUGUUAAGUUGGAUGUGAAAUCCCCGGGCUCAACCUGGGAACUGCAUUCAAAACUGACUGACUAGAGUAUGGUAGAGGGUGGUGGAAUUUCCUGUGUAGCGGUGAAAUGCGUAGAUAUAGGAAGGAACACCAGUGGCGAAGGCGACCACCUGGACUGAUACUGACACUGAGGUGCGAAAGCGUGGGGAGCAAACAGGAUUAGAUACCCUGGUAGUCC